rnacentral:snRNA from 1 species
GUGUUCACUUCAGCAGCACAUAUACGAAAAUUGGAACGAUACAGAGAAGAUUAGCAUGGCCCCUGAGCAAGGAUGACACGCAAAUUCAUGAAGCAUUCCAUUUUUUU